rnacentral:misc_RNA from 1 species
UGGUUCUGGCAUCGAUGAAGAACGCAGCGAAAUGCGAUAAGUAAUGUGAAUUGCAGAAUUCAGUGAAUCAUCGAAUCUUUGAACGCACAUUGCGCUCGCCAGUAUUCUGGCGAGCAUGCCUGUUCGAGCGUCAUUUCAACCCUCAAGCCCCCGCGCUUGGUGUUGGGGAUCAGCCGUCUGACGGCUGGCCCUGAAACUCAGUGGCGGUCUCGCUGUAGCUUCCUCUGCGUAGUAGCACAAACCUCGCUCUGGAUGGAAAACAGCGCGGCCACGCCGUAAAACCCCCUACUUUUGUAAGGUUGACCUCGAAUCAGGUAGGAAUACCCGCUGA